GAUUUCAACGGCAACGCUCUAAGUCUAUCGUAUCUGUGUCUCAUCUCAUUUGUUCUUCCAUCUGUGGCGGAAAUCACUGUCCGCCGGUUGGCUCCUGCCAUGCGAGACUAUCGUCCCCAUGCACGGUAGGUGUUUGAUAAUUUGACCCAGUGCCAGUGGCCUCCUAAACUUUUUUUCAUUCUGGAAUCCACCAAUUGCGAUGAACUUUAGCCGCCUCUCGCGAGCUUUAAACCACUGUAGCAUUAUAACACAGCAGACUCGUUUCUUUGUUCGCGACCCAUUUCCCAACAAGCUUACCCAUUACCUCCGUCGAGCUGAAUUUAUCGACUCAAUUCGACUCUGUCUCCGUUCGAAAUCUUCCAAUUCCCUCCCCGACCUCCUUAACAGCCGUCUUUUAGACCCUUUUGUGGUCACUCAUGCUCUCCGCUCUGCUCCCAAUGUAGAGUCGGCGCUUUUCCUUUUUGAAUCCCUUAAAACUUUCCCUCAUUUCGUGCAUACUCAAUCUAGCCUUCUUGCGCUGGCCACAGUUCUAGCCAGGUCCGGCAGGACUUUGGAGCUGAGGUCCCUGAUUAGCGAGAUUAAGGCAGGCAGAUAUCAUAAUGCUCGCGUUAGCUUUAUGGACCUUAUGCAGUGGUAUGCUGCCACUGGAGAUGCAGAGGCAGUUUUAGAUACCUGGGAGGAGUAUAGACGCAGUGUUAACCGUGUGUGUACUGAGUGUUACAACAUUGUUAUGAGUCUGUACGCUCAAAUUGGCAAGGAUUUGGAAUCUGUAGAGAUUUUUUACAGGAUGAUUGAUGAAGGGGCAAUUCCGAAUUCUAGAACUUACACGGUUAUGAUUGAGCAUCUUAUUAGUUCAGGGCAAUUGGAUGCGGCAAUUGAGAUUUUUGGUAAAUUGCCGUUGAUGAGAAUCAAAAGGACUUCGAAGCAGUAUUCAGUUUUGGUGAAAGGAUUUGUGGGUGCCCAGAGGUUUGACAUGGUCAAAACUUUGCUUAAUGAAAUGCGGAUUGAUGGGAAAUUUCCUGGUGGCGCCAUGCGUACAGCUUUGCAGCAUAUGUAUGAGGCAGGAUUUUCCCUGGAGACGGAGGAGUUUCUUAGAGAAAUGUUUCCUGAUGAGAGAAUAAAGAGUAUAGGAUCUUGUACAGAUGGUAGUGAUGAGGAUGAUGAUGAGGAUGUUAGCCAUGGAUAUGUUCACACUGAUGCUAAUGAAGUUAGGUUAAAACCAUGGUUGGACCCAAAAGCUUUGGCAAAUGCUUUGAAUCAAUGGAGCCCUGAGGUGGUGUCCACAUUGGAGGGUGCAAAAUUUGUGUGGACGACUCGGUUGGUUUGCAAGGUUCUUAGGAACUUUAGAUCGCCUGAAACAGCUUGGGAUUUUUUCUGUUGGGUUGCUUAUCAGCCAGGAUUCACUCAUGAUGUUUAUACAGUUCAAAGGAUGAUUACAAUUUUGGCACGUCAUGGGAAGGUUGAAUUAGUUGAUAAAUUGAUAAACAAAAUAAGAUGCGAGGGAAUGAGAUUACCUUUUAGCACCAUCAGAUUGAUCAUCGACUUCUAUGGUGUUUCAAAGAAUGCUGAUGCUGCAUUGAAGGUCUUCCAUGAUGACAGACCAAUCUGUGGUUCCAUAACAAAAUUUAAUCUGAUGCUUUUGUAUUCAUCUCUGCUGCGAACAUUGACCAAGUGCAAUAGAAAUUCUGAUGCCGUUGAUGUGCUUGAAGAGAUGAUUUUAAAUGAUAUAUGCCCAGAUAUCCAGACAUUUUCUGGGUUGAUGUAUCACUUUGCAUUGCAGGGAGAUAUUAAAACUGUGCAGAAAUUAUUUACGAUGGUUAGGCAGAGUGGUGUGGAGCCAGAUGCUUAUAUGUUCAAAGUACUGAUCCAGGCUUAUUGCAAAUGUGAGAGAGCUGCUCUUGCAUGGAGGGUUUUUGAAGACAUGAAGAACUUGAAUUUGAUGCCUGAUACUGCUACAACAGAUUUGCUUGUGAAGAGUCUUUGGAAAGAAGGCAAGCGAAAAGAGGCUGCCAUUGUGGAAGAAAGUUGUGAGGAAAACAACAAUGUCCUUCCUCUUGUUUUACGAGGUCAUAUAUGGACAGUGAGUUCUGCAGAUCUCACAAGAGUGUAUGAUAUCUACUCCAAAAGUUUCAUGUCAACCACUGGCUAGAAUUUCCCAUUAACUUGGGUAAUGAGGAAUGGUAUGCUAGUUCAAAACAUAUAUUUGCAAUUUCAGCAUAACUUUACAAAAAACGAAGUUGCUUUCUGCUUUUCUGACUUGAAUUUCUUCAUGUGUCACCCUGCCUGUUUAUUCACUUAUGGUGUUGGGUUGCAAGUGAAAUCCAUAACACUAAUCUUCAAUUGAUAGUAGAUAAUUUUCUAGAAAAGAACAAAAUGACCCUGAUAAUCAUAGAAUAGGUUCCUGUGGUUUAUUAUGUAGUUGACCUAAUGAAAUGCAAGAAAUAAAUUCUGAUUCUUUCUGGUACACAUAUUUUUGAACAUUGUUACUUGGGCAGCAAAUAAGGGCAUUGGUCUUCUAUUUUGAAGCUCUAUCUUAAUGAUAUUGUGAUCAAUGGCACCACUUUGGCAGAAUUUUCCGCCUGCGGGGAAGCUACUUGAAGUAAACCUGAAUUGAUUGUGAACCUUAAAUUACAGGUUGUCAUGCUUAAUAUUGUUUCCAGCGGCACAACUAGUAAACUAAAUGUGAAUUUUUUUUCUACACUGCUUUUUAACCGCCAUUAUAUUAGCUUUUAUGUUGAAAACAAAAUUUCACACUUUAUGGCAAUUAUUUCACCAUCUAGAUAUCCAGAUAUAUAACCUCUUCUUCUUGUCUCUUUAUUCCCUUCUUGCAGCCGCUCAAAAUGGUGAUGUGAAUUGACAUAAUCAUUUGAUUGGGUCGCGCAUCAACUAGACCUGAAAUCUUUUUCAUUUGGCUAUUUGUCUUCUUGGUUGUCGUCCUUUCUGGUUUAUCUUGAUGCAGGGAUUAACCAACUUUGAUUGUUUAUUUCCAAGAAGCCAGUGUGUGGGCACUUUUGGGCAACUAGAGUUCCUCACAUAAAAAAAUGAUGCUAGCACAUCACACAUCCUUGUUAAAGGUAAUCAAGUGCAGAAACAAUUAUAAAUUCUUUCUCUUUAGGCAAUCCCCUGGAGGAGCUUUCGAGUUGGUUGUUUCCUAGAGAUUGGCUCGCUGACUUUGUAAUAUAGAAUUGCAAGGAAAAACAACUUCUUGCCGUCCCAACUUGGGUUGUUUUAUUAAACUAAUAUGAUUCUUAACAGAAGAAUAUUUAUUUCCAAAAAAUGAAUAGUACAGGAGUUUGUUGCUUUUGUUUUUCUUUUGUGUAUCAAUGCGACAGAAUCAUAAAGAAUUGUCAUGUGUAUAUGAUAUUUCUAUCAUGUCUAUAUCAAGGAGGAGAUAACUAAGAGAAUCAUUCAAAUUAAAGGUAGAGACAGAGCCUCUCAGAUAUUCAUUAUAAGAAAAUCUAAUGUGUUUGGAUCAAUAGCUCCAAAACUAAUACUGCUCUUUGCAUCUUUCAGCUUUCCCAUCAACCGUAAGUGACCCUGCAAAUAACCUUUUUAUUUAGCUCAUUUGAGAUAUCUACUUCAAAGCCCAAGAAUUCAAGCUCUUAGCAUGGC
rnacentral:misc_RNA from 1 species